AUCACAUAAAAUCAGUCAAGUAGUCACUAAAAUCAGAGCUAACAUAAGCAAUCAGUAGGAACAACUGAUUAAAUGAUUUUUCCAAUGUAUCAAAACAAACAAAAGAUGAUUUCAUCAUAUUUCAGCUCAAUUACUCUGAAUAACAGUAUCAAGCAAUCGCAUAUCAAGCAAAUAAGUAGACAAUCUUUUCCAGCUUUCAAUUCAACGUAUUCAACCUUUUCCUAUUCAUUCAACCUUUUCUCCCCCUUUGUGCAUUAGCAGUAAAUGUUUGUUUUUACAUAUGGAUAUGAUGAUGAAAUGAAAUACCAGAGAUGCAUCAGUGUAAAUCAAAGUAAACAAGUUAAACAUUCAAAGAUGUUCCCCCUAUCACAGAUAUUCACAUGAGAUAGAUAAACUCCCCCUAAAGUCUAGGCAUGUGAAAAAUCUAUGCAAUCAAGUAAUGUUCCCCCUG
rnacentral:lncRNA from 1 species